GAAUUUUAAUAGCCAUAAUUCUAAGUCUAAAUAUUCAUUGUACAAGUGCAUAUCAUCAUUUUAUGGAUUGAUGCUUUGAAAAAUUCAAAUAUUUUCUGAAUUUUGCAAUUAUGACCGAUCUUUUUAAUUUUAUUAAUUAUAUAUGCAACCUUUUUUUUUUUAAUUGCAGCAAAAUUCGAAGGAGCACAUGCAAUAAACUCUCAAAUUGCAAAAACAACAUUAAUUUUAUUGAUAAAAUAUUUUAUAUAAACAUGCCGAAGGCAAGGGGAGGGAGAGGGGAUAGAGAGAAAAUAGAGCGAAAAGUCUUAUUUUUGCAAUGAAAAGUUAAAAACUUUUGAGCUUUAAAAAUUACUUAAUAAUUCUUUUAAAUAUAGUUAACACAUUUCUGCAAGAUUAUGCAGUCAAAUACACUAUAUCAAAUGUCAAAGCAAAAUGAAUUUUGAGUAAAAUAUAUAUCAUAUUAUCAAUUAAGAGUUUUAGCAUAUACCCUCUCAAAAUUGGCUAAGACACUACUUUAAGAGAUUGUAUAUAAUUAACCAAAUUAAAAGAAUUGGAUAUAAUUGCAAAUUUGAGCAAAGAAAAAAAUCUAGAAAUUGUAAAUAAAGGCCUAAUUAAUGCAAAAGAAAUAAGACUCAGGUGUGUCAACUGUCAACCCUAGCCCAUUGCCAAAAAGAUCUAGAAAUUGUUAGAAAAUCCUAACUACUAAAAAUUAUAAAUGUCAAGGCAAGCAGCUAAUGUACAUAUAAGACUCUACAAGGAAUGAAGGAACACAUUCAGUUUGUCCUAGAUAAGCCUUCUACAAAUCUUAUGUAUUUCUUGGAACUUUGAACACACUUGUUCUCUAGCUCCACGUUAUCUAUUUGAUUAUGUUUUAAUUGAAACUGAAUAAUAAAUAUGCAAACGAAGUUAGUAUAAGCUGUACCUCUGUUUUAUCUGAUACUUUUGGUGCAGCUAAAUGAAGGGUGAAGAAUCAUAAUUAAGUCACCCCAAGAACACAUCAGUUCUGCUUUCCAGAUGUUGGAGUGAUGCAAGCAAUCCUGACAUGAUUGAUUAGUGAUCCGUUAAUAUGUACCUGAGCUGCUUCCAUAUGAUAUAGAAACUUAACUGCUUCAAUAAUCAAUCCAUUCCGAACAUAAGCCAUAAGCAUAGCAUUCCAAUGAGCAACGUUUGUUUUAUGAGUGAUUAUCUCAAACACUUGUUUUGCAUCCCUGACCAUACCACAUUUGCCAUACAUGUCAAUCAACCCACAUUGCACAAAAGUAUUGGAUUCCAAUGCUAGUUUGAUGGCAACGGCAUGGACUUGUCGACCACAGUUUCCACCAUCAUCCAUCCUAGCACAUGCCCUCAGUACACUAGAUAAAGUAAAAUUGUUACUCCUUAUUCCAGCACUUCCCAUUUCCGUGAAAUCCUUCAUUACCUCAUGGAAACGCCCUUCUCUACAAUUGUUCACUAUUUUAACUGUCCAAACGGUAGUGUUGUGAUGGCAAAGCUGAUUACAGAUAAAGUUAGCACUUUCCAGACAGCCAAAUUUCCCAUACAAGUCCAUCAAUGCAACAUUCACAGAGAAAUCAUUGGUAACACCAAAUUUUAGUAACAACCCGUGAACCUGCUUCCCCAAUACCAUAUUCAGACUGCACACACAAGCCUUGAGGAUGCAAACUAUAACAAUAACCCAUGUAGGGAAUUCAAGAAUGUUGGUAUAAACAUUGAAAUAAAGCAACAUUUUAGUGGAAAAGCCGAUUACCUCUUCAUAACGAUGGUUAUUCAAAUAACCAAUAAUGAUUAUAGCCCAAGAAAGCAAGUCUUUACUGGUCGUCAUUUGAUCAAACAGAUUGCGGGCAGUAUCCAAGUGCCCACAAGAUACAAGCAUAAGUAGGAGACGGUGCGUCAAGUGUGAGGAGAGUUCAAGGCCACUCUGACCAAUGAGGCGAGAAUGCAACUGAAGAGCUUCAUCAGAAUCACAUGAGAGGGUGCAUUCUUUGAUAAGGGAAGAGUAAAUGUCCGGUGGGAUAGGGAGGCUUAGGCUAUCCAUCAACCUCGUGAUAUCUGAGCAUGAACUCUGCUUUCUCCUGCUAUAAUUCCUAGUAGUAGUGGAUAUUUUUAUUGGUUGAGAGAGAAUUUGAGGUUUAUGGAGUGGAUUUGGUCUCCGAAGACGCAGUUUGAAGUCAAUUGAUGGGUUGGAUGGAUUGAUCUUGUUGGUCUUCUUUGUGCUGCAGCAGAAAUGGACACACCAUUCUGCUGAUUGUAACUGAGUGGAGGUGGAAGGAGACAUGACCACCAUUUUGAAUCUAAUUUGUCAUGUUCAUCAAAUCAAUACAUUGCAUUGUAUUUGACCUUUUG
rnacentral:misc_RNA from 1 species